UUAAUUGAAGAGUUUGAUCAUGGCUCAGAUUGAACGCUGGCGGCAGGCCUAACACAUGCAAGUCGAGCGGCAGCGACUUAACUGAACCUUCGGGGAACGUUAAGGGCGGCGAGCGGCGGACGGGUGAGUAAUGCCUGGGAAUAUGCCCUGAUGUGGGGGAUAACUAUUGGAAACGAUAGCUAAUACCGCAUAAUCUCUUCGGAGCAAAGAGGGGGACCUUCGGGCCUCUCGCGUCAGGAUUAGCCCAGGUGGGAUUAGCUUGUUGGUGAGGUAAUGG
rnacentral:rRNA from 1 species